GAGAAAAUAACAAAAAAUAUAAAGAAGAGAGAAAAAUAAACAAAAAAGUUAAAAGAAGAGAGAAAAAUAAACAAAAAGUAUAAAGAAGAGAGAAAAAUAAACAAAAAGUAUAAAGAAGAAAGAAAAUAAACAAAAAGUAUAAAAGAAGAGAGAAAAAUAACAAAAGUAUAAGAAGAGAGAAAAAUAACAAAAGUAUAACGAACAGAGAAAAAAUAAAGACAAAAUAGUAUAAGAAGAAGAGAAAAUAAACAAAAGUAUAAAGAGAGAGAAAUCAACAAAAAGUAUAAAGAACGGAGAGAAAAAGUAAACGAAAAGUAUAAGAAGAGAGAAAUUUAAAACAAAAAGUAUAAAGAAGAGAAGAAAAAUCAACAAAAUGUAUGAAAGAGAGGGGAAAACUAAACAAAAGGUAAUAAAAGAAGAGAGAAAAAAUCAAAAAGUAUAGAAAGAAGGAAAAGAAAUAACAUAAAAAGGUUAAAAGAAGAGGAGAAAAUAAACAAAGUAUGAAAGGAAGAGAGAAAAUAAACAAAAGUAUUAAAGAAGAGAGAAAAUAAGAGCAAAAGUAUAAAGAAGAAAAGAAAAAAAAAAAAUUUAAACAAAAAAAAAAAGGUAAUAAAGAAGGAGAGAAAAGAUAAACAGAAGUCUAAGAGAAGAUAAGAAAAAUAAAACAAAAAAGUAUAAAGAAGAGAGAAAAAUAAACAAAAAGUAUAAAGAGAAGAGAAGAAAAUAAACAAAAAGUUAUAAAGAAGAGAGAAAAAUAAACAAAAAGUAUAAAGAAGAAGAAAAAUAGAACGAAAAAAAUAUAAAGAAGAGAGAAAAUAAACAAAAAGUAUAAGAAGAGAGAAAAAAUAAACAAAAGUAUAAAGGAAGAGAAGAAAAAAUAACAAAAGUAUAGAAGGAAGGAGAAGAGAAAAUAAAACAAAAAGUAAUAAAGGAAGAGAGAAAAAAUAACAAAAGUAUAAAGAAGAGAGAAAAAAACAACAAAAGUAGAUAAAGAAGAGAGAAAAUGAACAAGUAUAAAGAAGAAAGAAAGAAUAAAACAAAGAAGUAUAAAGAAGAGGGAAAAAAUAACAAAAGUAUAAAGAACAGAGAAAAAAUAAAGCAAAAGUAUAAAGAAAGAGGAGAAAAAUAAACAAAAGUUAUAAAGAAGCAGAGAAAAUAAACAAAAAGUAUAGAAAAGAAAGAAAAUAAACAAAAAGUAUAAAGAAGAGAGAAAAAUAAACAAAAAGAUUAAGAAGAAGAGAAAAAGUAAACAAAAGUAUAAAGAAGAGAGA
rnacentral:lncRNA from 1 species